rnacentral:rRNA from 1 species
GAUGAACGCUGGCGGCGUGCCUAAUACAUGCAAGUCGAGCGAACAGACGAGGAGCUUGCUGCUCUGACGUUAGCGGCGGACGGGUAAGUAACACGUGGAUAACCUACCUAUAAGACUGGGAUAACUUCGGGAAACCGGAGCUAAUACCGGAUAAUAUUUUGAACCGCAUGGUUCAAUAGUGAAAGACGGUUUUGCUGUCACUUAUAGCUGGAUCCGCGCUGCAUUAGCUAGUUGGUAAGGUAACGGCUUACCAAGGCGACGAUGCGUAGCCGACCUGAGAGGGGGAUCGGCCACACUGGAACUGAGACACGGUCCAGACUCCUACGGGAGGCAGCAGUAGGGAAUCGUCCGCAAUGGGCGAAAGCCUGCAGGAGCAACGCCGCGUGAGUGAUGAAGGUCUUCGGAUCGUAAAACUCUGUUAUUAGGGAAGAACAAAUGUGUAAGUAACUAUGCACUUCUUGACGGUACCUAAUCAGAAAGCCACGGCUAACUACGUG